GACGAACGCUGGCGGCGUGCCUAAUACAUGCAAGUUGAGCGCUGAAGGUUGGUACUUGUACCAACUGGAUUAGCAGCGAACGGGUGAGUAACGCGUGGGGAAUCUGCCUUUGAGCGGGGGACAACAUUUGGAAACGAAUGCUAAUACCGCAUAAAAACUUUAAACACAAGUUUUAAGUUUGAAAGAUGCAAUUGCAUCACUCAAAGAUGAUCCCGCGUUGUAUUAGCUAGUUGGUGAGGUAAAGGCUCACCAAGGCGAUGAUACAUAGCCGACCUGAGAGGGUGAUCGGCCACAUUGGGACUGAGACACGGCCCAAACUCCUACGGGAGGCAGCAGUAGGGAAUCUUCGGCAAUGGACGAAAGUCUGACCGAGCAACGCCGCGUGAGUGAAGAAGGUUUUCGGAUCGUAAAACUCUGUUGGUAGAGAAGAACGUUGGUGAGAGUGGAAAGCUCAUCAAGUGACGGUAACUACCCAGAAAGGGACGGCUAACUACGUG
rnacentral:rRNA from 1 species